UACGUAGGGGGCGAGCGUUGUCCGGAUUUAUUGGGCGUAAAGAGCGUGUAGGCGGCCAGAUAAGUCCGCUGUGAAAUCUCGAGGCUCAACUUCGAGCUGUCGGUGGAAACUAUCUGGCUAGAGUCCGGAAGAGGAGAAUGGAAUUCCUGGUGUAGCGGUGAAAUGCGCAGAUAUCAGGAAGAACACCCGUGGCGAAGGCGGUUCUCUGGGACGGUACUGACGCUGAGACGCGAAAGCGUGGGGAGCGAACAGG
rnacentral:rRNA from 1 species